UCAAAGGAGCGGUUGAUGAGAUGU
rnacentral:miRNA from 1 species